rnacentral:tRNA from 1 species
GCGGUCGUGGCCGAGUGGUUAAGGCGAUGGACUUGAAAUCCAUUAGCUUCUCCCGCGCAGGUUCGAAUCCUGCCGGCUGCG